rnacentral:rRNA from 1 species
CUUCCGUUGGGGGAACCUGCGGAAGGAUCAUUAUCUAUUUCAUGAGUGCGGUCGCGGCCCUCGGCGGGAGCAACAGCUACCGUCGGGCGGUAGAGGUAACACUUUCACGCGCCGCAUGUCUGAAUCCUUUUUUUACGAGCACCUUUCGUUCUCCUUCGGCGGGGCAACCUGCCGUUGGAACCUAUCAAAACCUUUUUUUUGCAUCUAGCAUUACCUGUUCUGAUACAAACAAUCGUUACAACUUUCAACAAUGGAUCUCUUGGCUCUGGCAUCGAUGAAGAACGCAGCGAAAUGCGAUAAGUAGUGUGAAUUGCAGAAUUCAGUGAAUCAUCGAAUCUUUGAACGCACAUUGCGCCCCUUGGUAUUCCAUGGGGCAUGCCUGUUCGAGCGUCAUCUACACCCUCAAGCUCUGCUUGGUGUUGGGCGUCUGUCCCGCCUCUGCGCGCGGACUCGCCCCAAAUUCAUUGGCAGCGGUCCUUGCCUCCUCUCGCGCAGCACAUUGCGCUUCUCGAGGUGCGCGGCCCGCGUCCACGAAGCAACAUUACCGUCUUUGACCUCGGAUCAGGUAGGGAUACCCGCUGAACUUAAGCAUAUCAAUAAGCGGGAGAA